rnacentral:rRNA from 1 species
CAAUAGCGUAUAUUAAAGCUGUUGCGGUUAAAAAGCUCGUAGUUGGAUUUCUGUCAAGGACAACUGGUCCGCCCUCCGGGUGAGCACAUAGUUUGGUCUUGGCAUCUUGCUGGAAGCUGUUGCUGCACUUGGCUGUGUGGCGCAGCGUCCAGCACUUUCACUUUGAGGAAAUUGGAGUGUUUCAAGCAGGCACAUGCCUUUGGACACAGUAGCAUGGAAUAAUUAGAUUGGGCUUUUGCUUCAAUUUGUCGGUUUCUGGAGCUGAGGUGAGAAUUAAUGGGGAUUGUUGGGGGCAUCCGAAUUUAGCCGUCAGAGGUGAAAUUCUUGGAUCUGCUAAAGACGGACAACUGCGAAAGCGUUUGCCCAGGAUGUUUUCAUUGA